rnacentral:lncRNA from 1 species
UUAUACAACACCAUUCUUAAACUAACAUUCAUAUUUCCUAUUGUUAAUAAUCUACGAACGAUGAAGCUAUUUCGAGCAAAAGGGAUUUGUACUAAACUAUUAUACAGUGGCAUUCCAUAAUCUAUGUUUCUUGAACAUUAACUACCAAUCUACUGAAUCUAUAUAACAACAUUCCCUGAUAAUGAACAUGAAUUGUUACAACUUAGUAUCAAGAACCAUGCCAAUAACUACACUACUAGAAAUCAACAAUUACAAUAGGUGACCAUUUUCAACUGAUAAAAUUUAAAAUAAGGCCAUGCACUAGCCAAAUUCCCUAGCUUAUCUAACACUUUGACUUCUCACUUCUUUAGGCCACAAAUCUAACAAGAAAUCUCCAGAACUUCACAUGAAUACAAUAACAGUAAACAAAUCUUAGCAAUCAUGAAUCAAAAUAUAGAACUGAUAUUGUUUUAUCACUCAGAUUACUAACCUGUACGAGGGUUUAUCAAACCAUUUUUUUAAUCUGUAUUCAUAUUUCCAGUCCAAACACAAAGGAAUAUCCAGCACAUAUGUGAACUAACAAGACAGCAGAAAUUUUAAAACCAUGUGAUAUUCAGAUAACUAUUACAUUAUUUGAAGCUGUCAGCACAUACCUUAACAACAGCAAAGAAAUAAAAGAAGAGAAUAAGUCUCUGAAAAUUGGGAAGAAAGCAGCAGCAAGAAACAACUCAGUAACAGGAAAUUAACAAGAUCUAAAGAACUAAGCAGCUGAUUUGAAACCCCACAUGACUUGAAUAAACAAGUAGAAAAUGAAGAGAAAAACCAACUUUUCUUUUUGUGUUUUGUAGCUGUGUAUUAACUCCUUGUGAGUGUUUUCUUUUUUAGAGAAAACAAAAGUGCAGAGAGCCCCUUUUGUAUAGAAAUCAGUCUAUAUUUUUGAAAAAUCUGAGUGCUUAACUUGUGUGAAUGAUGGAGUGUGAGUCCCUUUUUAUAGAAGGUGAGAGCGCAAUAGAGAAGGGUGUGGGAAUAUCCUGCAGCUCCCUAAAAUCAGGGAAAUAGCAUCUUCUGUAACAGAAAAUGGACAGCUGUUGCGAUAACUGUCCAUUCAGAUAUUUACUCACAUUGUUUUAACCCUUUUACUUCUGAAUUUAACCCUUUAAACCCCAAAAUCUGAUUUAAUUCAGUUGGUUUAUUACAUUUUAGUCCUUUCAGGAAGUUUCCUACACAAAUGUUCAAACUCCUGAUUUUCUGAUUUUUUUUUUGCCCCUUUAAGAUUUCUGUUAUUACCCCUUCACCAUUUAACUUUUGUUAAUUAUAAACCACUAAUAUAAGAAUUUUAUCAAGAAUUAACAGUCCCAACAAAGCAAAGAAAGGUCGUAUUCCAAUGUAUUUCUGGGUGGUUCAGCCUUCACACUUGCAACUAAACUGAAUGUUAUGCACUUGAACUAUUAUUCCACCACAAGAUUAAUGAGUUUUAAAUCUAAAACAUGUUAACAUACGGGAAACACACUAAUGAAUCAACUGUUUAUCCAAUCCUAUUAAAUGACUACCAAUUGACAAUCUAAUGAAAUCAAAAAUAAACUAAAACAUUUUGUUAAUUGAACUAAACAUAAUCUAUAACAUGUAACACAAAUUAUCAGUCAUCUAGAUCAAAAUGGACAGGUACAUAAAAUGAAAAGAAGAAUCAGAAAGGAACAUUCCAACUGAGCGACCAUCGUUAAGAAAUCUGACCAAUGGUCGAUCUUGUUACACGAGCACUAAUUUAUGCUUGAAGGGUAGAAAUAUUGUUACAUUGAGCGAUGACGACCACAACCAUCCAAGAUGUGGAACGGCCAAAUAAAAGGGUCACGAGAUGACAUGAGACCAACCUUUGGUAACUCCUAAAACGAACCAACCACUGGUCGGCCUAAUCUAAAAGAAAAAUCAAAUGGGGAAUACUAGGGCUUCGGGGGUUUUCUGGAUCUGAAAUCUAGAGAAUUUGGUGGAGUUUUGGGGAAAAUUGAUGGUUGAUUAAUGGCGAGGACGAGGUGGGGAGUGUGGGGGUGUGAAUUUGAGCGGAUUUAGAGGGUGCACCACCGUAGGCGAUUUUCAGUGAGCGGUAGACAGUGGUGAGAGGCAAGGGUGAGAGAGAGAGAGUUAUGGGAGUGGUUUUUAGGCUUUUGGGGGGAGGGGGGGUUAGACAAGUAUAAGGGGAAAG